rnacentral:rRNA from 1 species
UCUUUAUAAUAAAUUUAUUUUAAUAAAUUAUUUUAUUUAAAUUAAUAAUUUUAAUAUUAAAUUAUUUUAUUGGGGUGAUACAAAAAUUUAACUAACUUUUUUAUUAAAAUUACUUAAAUUAAAGAUUUAUAAAAAUAUGAUCUAUUAUUAAUAAUUCAGAGAAUAAGA